CCCAGACUCCUACGGGAGGCAGCAGUGGGGAAUAUUGCACAAUGGGGGAAACCCUGAUGCAGCGACGCCGCGUGAGUGAAGAAGUAUUUCGGUAUGUAAAGCUCUAUCAGCAGGGAAGAAAAUGACGGUACCUGAUUAAGAAGCCCCGGCUAACUACGUGCCAGCAGCCGCGGUAAUACGUAGGGGGCAAGCGUUAUCCGGAUUUACUGGGUGUAAAGGGAGCGUAGACGGUGAUGCAAGUCAGAAGUGAAAGCCCGGGGCUCAACUCCGGGACUGCUUUUGAAACUGUGUAACUGGAGUGUAGGAGAGGUAAGCGGAAUUCCUGGUGUAGCGGUGAAAUGCGUAGAUAUCAGGAGGAACACCAGUGGCGAAGGCGGCUUACUGGACUGUAACUGACGUUGAGGCUCGAAAGCGUGGGGAGCAAACAGGAUUAGAUACCCGUGUA
rnacentral:rRNA from 1 species